CAAACGAAGUGACUGAAGAAAAACAACAAAAGGAGGAAGGCGACUGUGAUUUAAUCUGGCUCGCGCCAGGCCGUUCGACCCCGCGGCUAGAACCGCGCAAAUGCACAUAACCGGAUCGUUUAGAUUCUUAAGAUGAUUAGCUAAUCGGCAGUAACGAUUUGCCACGGAUGAUGCCUACGGUCGCGGUUCACCCUAUUAAUAUUGUUACAUCAGACUAAGUUUACGUCAUGCUACAUAACAGGAUGAAUGUAUAACAUUUCAUGGUGGAACACCGGGAUUCCGGUGCCCACGUACCAUUUCCGGAACCUGGAAUAGUGCCACGGGCACAGUUUUCUGUUUCCUCUUCGUUGAAGUUAUUUUUAUUAUAAGUAGAUGCUGAAGAUAUUCUUUCAGAAUAUAAUUAUUAUUUUUGUUAUUUUAUGAAAUACUUUGUUAGAUCAGAUUGUUUCUGUGUUGAAAUAUUUAUUAUAUGAUAUACAUCAUCUCUCUGGGAAUAUUUUUUUAUGAAAUAUCUUUUCAUUUCUUAUGGAACGUUUCUUUAUUUUAAAUAUUCUUUUCGUAGAUUAUCUUUUUCUGAAUCAUCGGUAUUUAGAAAAAAUUCUUUUAAUUCCUCGAAAUAAUGUCUUCACUGCAGAAAAUUCUCCUGUUGUGUAUCUCUUUAUACAAUUUAAUCCAAAAUCCUCCCAGACGUAUCAUCUCCUUGGUGAAAGAUUCGUUUCAGUAUUUUCAACCAAUCCGGGUGCAUUUGUUCUGCGUUCUCUUUAACUCGCCAACGCUUAUCCUCCAUUAGAGCCCGCAGAAAGUUAUGCCAACCAACAUUCCUGAUUUCAUACAUGAUAAACUCGUUUACCCAUCGAGUGCGUAGAGCAACGAUUCCAACAAUCACGUACUGUUCAUCUUAUGGUCGUCUAGAAGGAUCCAACUACCAUAGUAUGUUAUCCUGUCCCAUUACGUGCAUACAUCAUCUCUUCUCUCCUGGACUAUCAAUCUCACGUUAUAAGACGCGUUAUAUACAAAUAUAGUAUAAUACAUACAUAAUAAAUAUAGUAAAUCAUAAUCAAACCUUGAAAACUUUUUCUAGGGAAAAUAAAAUUUUAGGGAUAUUUCUGGGUGGAAAUUCAUGCUAAUGUAUUUGAAGUACCAAGGCUUCAAAUCCUGUUGGACACUUGUUGGAUAAGCAUAGCCAUUUUCUGUUAAUGUAAUUUCAUCGGUGUUGCAGCGACUCGAGGAGUGGUUAUUGUUCUCUGUCGCAACGAAGUUGAAGUGCUUAUGAAGAACAUAAAUUCCCGUAAUAGCGCUACGAAACGAGUGGUCUGAGAUCUCCUUUAAAUGAUUCUACGAUAAUUCUUCUCUUGUUACAGUUGAAAUAGGCGAUUACCAUAGGAGAUUAAUAGAUAAACAAAAAUAAAUUGAAGAUGAAAUUACAAUACAUAUAAGUUUUAUAAAUUUUCAACAAUUAGAUUUUGUAUUAUAAAAUAAUAAUAACAAUUUUACAAAUUCUAAUAAGUAAUCAUUUUCAACUUUCAGGAUAUCACGAUAGAAGAUAACGAAGAGAAAGAGAAGAGAUGCUAUCUGGCGAACACUAAAGUGCAAAAUCGAUGUCCGGUCGAUCCAUUCUACAUUUACGUAAGCAGAUCGUGCAUUGAGUGCUCGACAAAGUUCAAUGUUACUUGUAGAAUCAGCGUUAACCCAGAUCUAUUCAUCUAUUGCAACCCUUGCCUCUACUAUGAAACAGUAUGGCGGAAAUGCAGAAUGAAUGGAUCAAUGAGUAACGCGGUUUAGUGAACUAAAUCGUUCAAGAUCAAUUUCCUUUGCGUUAUCUCUUCAUUUAACUGGGUAGCAUCAAUCGUUAAAGAGAACGUAAUUUAGUUUCUAUCGCAACAGCGAAUUGUUCCUUGUUCUGAAACCAACCCAAGAAGAAGCAUAAUUCCCUGGGACACCGUAUUGGGUAUUCAAUGGUGGUUCACAUUGCACAAUGCCUAUGCUCACCAUGAGGGCGAGAGUUAACUGGAAAUUAAGGACUAGUUAAUCACAUCAGACACUGAAGAAUAUUUAUAGGAUACACCUCAAGAAUUACUUCAGAGAUCUACUGAUAUUUCUGGAUUGUACGUUAAAGAUUACUGUAACUAGUAACCUUCGGAAAUCUAUCUGAAAACUUAAAAACCUAUCAGUGUCUCAAAUCUCAAUAAGACGGCAUUGGCCUAAUUAUUGAUUCUUAAAUAUUAAAAUAUUACUAAUAAUAAUAUUGUCAAUAAUAUUAUCAAGUUGCUAUUCUCUCAUGAUAAUCACAACGCAUAGCGUUAAUAGUGUAAUAAAGGAGUAGCGCGAAGGAAUAAUUAAUUCGAAAGGUAUCAGACAGAUUCCCAGGCGUAGAACAGAUGCGUCGCGUCGAAAGCGCGAGAUGAUCAAGGCAGCUCACGUUGCGUAGGCGAGAAAUUGGAGUCGUGAGCCAGCAUUUUCCUCCCGUUUCUGUCGUGAGAAAGCCUCCGAGUGCGCAAAAGAGGGGGAAACGUUGCGUCAUGUCGCGCCGCGUUCAAAAUCAGCGCCAGAUUAAGCGCGAUUGCGGGAAAGGAAGAAGAAAGAUGAAAACGAAAGAAUUAGACUGUGUUCCGUUGUACUACAACAAGUUCUCCUUAAAGAAUCGUCUUGUUAUAUAUGUAUCCUUUUACAAGGAAACAAAUUUUUCAAACUCACGCAGACCACCAGUCACGCUCGCUGUAUUGUGUACUGAACAAUAUAAUAACAGAAUAUUGGGCACAAAUUCAUCCGGAUGUGAAAUAAGAAGUAUAACUUUCGUUCAUGAAUAAGUCAACAGUGAUUUAAUUAUAUCUAUGAAAUGAUCUUUUAAAUUCCAAGAGGUGUUACAUAUGGUAUUAAAGAAUUAAUAAAUAAUAAAAUUUUUUCAGUAUUAUAGGUUAA